rnacentral:misc_RNA from 1 species
AAACCGAACAAUUCCAAUUUCUUCUUAUCUGCUUCCCUUGGAGAGAGAUGGAACUAUCUGGGGAAUCAAAUUCGCCGCCAACAACAACGAAGCUGAAACCAAUAGAAGCGACGUCGGAUAGCUUCCAAGAAUUCGGCCAAGUCAUAGAGCCAUCCCCAGAUGGCUUAGAGUUCGGUCCUCAAGAUGCUCAGUUGAACCUUAGCCAAGGAAUUCCCAGGUUCUAUAUUAUGGAACUCCAAGGCCGUCCGCUUAAGUUCUCGACGAUUACCCAUCACGCCAGCGUCACCCAGUGCCUUGGAUCCAUCGGAGGUCACGUUUGGUAUCUGGGUGUAGCCAAGCCAUCGAUCUUGGAUUCAAAGGAAACAGAAAGGGACGUUGUUCAGUCACAUUGUGGGCAUUUCUAUGUGCCUCCUGCUGUGGAUGAAGUGCGAGUUUUUAGAAUCUCUGGGCCUAAAUUCAUUAAACUUCAUCUUGGAACUUGGCACGCAGGGCCUCUGUUUGAGGGAGAUUCCAUGGAUUUCUACAAUUUGGAAUUAAGCAACACCAAUGUGAGCUUCUUUAAUAAUUUUCUCUUAUAUGCAUUUUCCAUUACAUUGCUUCACUUCCUCAUAUAGGAACCUUAAUAUUUAUAGCACAGAACGUCUGAUAAAGUAGUCAAAGGAUUUUUCAGAUUCGGGUACUUCUGGGGAUAUUUUCUUGCUUACCUUACACUGAGAAGAAGCAGAACCCAUGAAAGAAAAUAAAAAUUUCUAGACUUGCAAGAAUUUAAAAGAAUGAUGUUAGCUUUGUUUUUGAGGCUAGCUACAUGUGAAAAAGUAGUUGUAACCAAAAUUGAACUGGUAUUAGGAGCAGAAACUCCCUACAAAAAUUGCUAAAGGGAAGAGUUGUAAGGAUUCACCCUCCUAUGAUUCCAUUUUGCCAGGUCAUAACUGGUUGAUGGACUCUGGAAAUAGGAUUUAAAAUGAAAGAAAACUUGGAACCUCACUUUAGCCUGAAUGAGUCACAUUGUAUACUCCAGAAUUUGUGAAUAUAGGUGUGCGGCACAAAGGAGGGUCUGAUUAGGCAGAAAGCUGAACUUCUUUCUGUUGGUCAUAUAUCAUAAAUCCCUGCUAUCACAUAAUGUCCACUCUUGCUACAAUCACCUGUACUAUGAUCAUAUAACUGGAACUACUCUGAGGCUACUUGUGGUGAGCUCUAGUAUUUGUUUUCAUUUUGCUCCCACCAUUCUCAAAUUAUGGGGUUCUUCAAGGUCCAACAUUCAGAUCAAUACAAUGAUGCAAUGAGUCUAGAUGGUCUGGCUUCCAAUUCAUUUUAGAGUAUUUGCAGUUCAGUUCACGGAUUUGAAAUUUGUCUUUUCAACUCAUUCCACUAUUUUCUCUGCAAAACAUUUUUGUGCAUUUUAUAUUUCUGAUAAAGGGUUCAUCUUUCUUUAAGACCUUUAAUACUGCUCUAUUAAUUCCAGAAUCCCUGCUGGAAACACCUUCCACAAGGGCUUUUCUUUGUUUAAAGACGAACAAUUUCUAACUGUGUCUCAGUAUGGAUUAUGGAAAGUACAAAUCAUUCAAUUAAACUUAUUUGUGAAACUUGUCUGUACAUUUAGAACAUUCUGUGCCAUUUAUCUAUUCCUCUGUGUAGGUGGUGGACCACACAACACAUAGCUUCAAGAAGCAAAAUGGAGUGAUAUUUUCAGUAGAGGAGUAAUUGUACAAGUUUUCUCAAGUUCUUUGUUCAAAUAUGGUGUAUUUCUUAUAUGGAUUAUGUAUUAAACUAAAGAAAUAUAUGUUCCUAAUGUCUCAUUCUCCUUAGUGUCCAAACACCUUAUUUAGCUUCUCAUCUAUGAAUAGAUUAUGCAGAGAAGGUGAACUUUUGCAGAAAAGUAGCAAUAGCAGGCGUGGAUGCUGUAAAUGAACAGAAUCCCAGAUGAGUUAUUAAAGAAAAAUCAACUCCUAGUGUUUGAGCAUCCAACAUUAAAUGGGAUCUAAUUGUAUUAUCUUUCAAUUUGCUAUCUCUUCCUCAAUUUCCAUUUUUUUUCCUCCUGUAUGUUCUGCUGGCAAUAUCAACAAUUUUACUUGAAACUUCUUUAUUGUUCUCAGAAAAAUUGGAUCAGUACACUCUAUAAUCAUAAA